UAUUUUUCCUAGGAAAGAAAUUGAUAUGAUUUCAGUUCUGUCAUCAUAUUUCUGAAGCCUUCUCAAGUCAUUUCCUUGAGCAUGAAAAAGAUCAUUUGCCUCAAGUCUGCCCAGGAUAUGCACUCAAUAUUCACAUGAAAAUGAAGAAGAUCUAGGAACAGAGGAUUUCAGAUUGGAUUAAGGUGGGACUAUGAUGCAUAGCACCAUGCGAUAUUUACCUUUAUGAGUUUGAGCAAAUGAUUUUAUGUCAAAUCAGCCUAAAUUUCCAGCUGAUAAGUUGGCUUCCUCUAUUUGUUUUUAGUUUUCAACCUGGUAGAUUGAUAUUUCAAUCUUAAGUUGAUUAGAUCUGCAUUAGAUCUGGUGACAGAGUGGGAAAGAUGCAAAGGGGGCCAUGCUCCAUGAACUUGCAAGCUUUCUGGACAUGAAGAUAGGUUUUUAUCUGUGAUACAAAAGCUUGUCAAAUCCAACUAAUAUGAUUGGCAGAUCCAUUGAUCCAUGUUUAUACGUGUUCAUACUAACCCUUUUCACUAAAUUCACUGUAUGGAGAGAUUUUAUAUUCAGCGAUAUGACAAAUUGGAGCUGAUGAAAACCUUCUUCCUUCUGGGUGAUUGACUAUUAUUGAAGAACAUUGCUGCCUCUGUUGUUUGGACAGUGGAUAGAGAUUGAGACCUUAGACUGACUUUGAACCUCACAGUUGGAUUUUCAUACUAUUGUAUUUGUUUUCAUGUUUUCGAGUCUAAUUUGAGGCUCCUAUCUGUUUUGAGCUCAACAAGGCACAAUUUUGGUACUUUGACCAUAGCAUGAAGUUAGCGUUUCGGAAAGAUAUUAGUUCCAUUA